rnacentral:rRNA from 1 species
AGCAGCCGCCGCGGUAAUACGUAGGGUGCAAGCGUUAAUCGGAAUUACUGGGCGUAAAGCGUGCGUAGGCGGCUUCUUAAGUCGGAUGUGAAAUCCCUGAGCUUAACUUAGGAAUUGCAUUCGAUACUGGGAAGCUAGAGUAUGGGAGAGGAUGGUAGAAUUCCAGGUGUAGCGGUGAAAUGCGUAGAGAUCUGGAGGAAUACCGAUGGCGAAGGCAGCCAUCUGGCCUAAUACUGACGCUGAGGUACGAAAGCAUGGGGAGCAAACAGGAUUAGAUACCCGCGUAGUCCCUGUCUCUUAUAC